rnacentral:misc_RNA from 1 species
UACGGAGGGGGCUAGCGUUGUUCGGAAUUACUGGGUGUAAAGCGCACGUAGGCAGCUUUCUAAGUCAGGGGUGAAAUCCUGGAGCUCAACUCCAGAACUGCCUUUGAUACUGGGAAGCUUGAGUUCGGGAGAGGUGAGUGGAAUUGCGAGUGUAGAGGUGAAAUUCGUAGAUAUUCGCAAGAACACCAGUGGCGAAGGCGGCUCACUGGCCCGAUACUGACGCUGAGGUGCGAAAGCGUGGGGAGCAAACAGG